rnacentral:rRNA from 1 species
AUGCAUGUGUAAGUUCAUCUAUAGAAUAGUGAAACCGCGGAUGGCUCAGUAAACCAGUCCGAAUUUUAUGAUAACAGGUUUCCAAAAGGAUACCUCAGGUAACCCUUGAGCUAAUACUUGAAUUUAUCUCGUCCGCGAGAACGACUCUAAUAGUAACCUCAGGCAAGACGUUAGUCCUGUCUAUGAGGGGAGAUCUAAUGAGAGAACAAACUCCGCUGGUUCGACUCGGAGUAUUAUCUCGAAGUGUCUGACCUAUCAAUUAGGGACGGUAGUGUCUUGGACUACCAUGGUUCUGACGGGUGACGGGGAAUCAGGGUUCUAUUCCGGAGAGGCAGCCUUAGAAACGGCUACUACACCCAAGGGAGGCAGCAGGCGCGCAAAUUACCCAAUACUAGUUCUGUGAGGUAGUGACGAGAAAUAACAAUACAUCACUUUAGUGUUGUAAUUGGAAUGACAGUGAAGUAAAUUUUCUCUGAAGGAUCAAGUGGAGGGCAAGUCUGGUGCCAGCAGCCGCGGUAAUACCAGCUUCCACAAGCAUAUGCAAAAGUUGCUGCGUUUAGAAAGCUCGUAGUUGGUGCUGUUAUUGCUAUAGUUAAAGUGGGUAUUUAAACCACAAUUAUGGCAAAAUCCGUGGAUAUCCGAUGCUUUGCACUUGGUUGUGUGAUACGUCGGAUCCAGUUUUACCUAGAAUAAAACAGCGUGUUCAAAGCAGCCUUUGGGUAUGAAUAAUGGAGCAUGGAAUAAUGGAAGAGGUUCGUGCAUCUUCUAUGGGUUAUUGAUUAGACGAUAAUGGUUAACAAGAUCGAGUGGGGGCGUUCGUAUUGCUACGUCAGAGGUGAAAUUCUUGGAUCGUAGCAAGACGGUCUACUGCGAAAGCAUUUGCCAAAAGUGUUUUUACUUAUCAAGAACGAAAGUUGGAGUAUUGAAGAGGAUUAGAUACCCUCGUAAUUCUAACCAUAAACUAUUCAAACUCGAUUUGUGCAUGAUCAAAUAUGUUCUGGCAUGAAUUAUCUAGGAAACUAAAGUUUUUCUGUUACGGGGGUAGUAUGGUUGCAAAAUCGAAACUUAAAGGAAUUGACGGAAGGGCACCACCAGGAGUGGAGCCUGCGGCUUAAUUCGACUCAACACGGGGAAACUCACCAGGUCCAGACAUGGUAAUGAUUGACAGACUGGAUAUCCAUCAUGAUUCCUUGGGUGGUGGUGCAUGGCCGUUCUUAGUUAGUGGAGUGCUCUGUCUGGUUGAUUCCGAUAACGAACGAGACCUAAUUCAACUGAAUAACAUUGGUGGGGAGGCUACCUAAUGUUUCUAAGCGAGACCACGUGGAUAUUUUACCACGUGGAAGUUGGGCUAUAACAGGUCUGUGAUGCCCUUAGAUGUCCUGGGCUGCACGCGCGCUACACUGAGUGUAACAUCGUGAUAAUUUUUGUCCGUUAGGGUCUGGGAAACCAUUGAAUUAUUUCACGUACUGGGAAUCGAUUUCUGGAAUUUCGAAUCGUAAACGAGGAAUUCCUAGUAAGUAUCGGUAAGUAUCCGGUGCUGAUUAUGUCCCUGCCCUUUGUACACACCGCCCGUCGCUACUACUGAUUGGGUGUAUGAGCAAGGUUUGUGGCCGGCAUUCAUUCGUUCUUACAAAUGUCUGAUGAAAGCAAAUCAAGUUCAUGCGUUUA